rnacentral:rRNA from 1 species
AUUGAACGCUGGCGGCAUGCCUUACACAUGCAAGUCGAACGGCAGCGGACCUUCGGGUGCCGGCGAGUGGCGAACGGGUGAGUAAUGCAUCGGAACGUACCUUUCAGUGGGGGAUAACGAAGCGAAAGCUUUGCUAAUACCGCAUACGAUCUACGGAUGAAAGCAGGGGACCGCAAGGCCUUGCGCGAACGGAGCGGCCGAUGGCAGAUUAGGUAGUUGGUGGGAUAAAAGCUUACCAAGCCGACGAUCUGUAGCUGGUCUGAGAGGACGACCAGCCACACUGGGACUGAGACACGGCCCAGACUCCUACGGGAGGCAGCAGUGGGGAAUUUUGGACAAUGGGCGCAAGCCUGAUCCAGCCAUGCCGCGUGCAGGAUGAAGGCCUUCGGGUUGUAAACUGCUUUUGUACGGAACGAAAAGACUCUGGUUAAUACCUGGGGUCCAUGACGGUACCGUAAGAAUAAGCACCGGCUAACUACGUGCCAGCCGCCGCCGUAACAC